AGAUCAUAGAAUCUAAGAUGAGGCUCCGCUGGCUUGCAAUUUUCUCGACCAUUCUAUACGCUGUUCUCGCAAUCACAGUGAACAUUCGAGAAGAAGAUAAGGAUACUCACAGACUGCUCUUCAAACAAUAUAGGAAUACCGCACAAACCUCGCCCGGGAUUACGCG